GUAGUGUGUGUGACCCGGAUCAAAGAGAGACUCCUGAUGAUUUAGAGCCAGUGACUGGGAUCAUAGCGAUAGAUGACAGGGACGUCUUGGAACAAAGUGGCCGGUAUGAAAGGAAAGGGCAGAGUUCCACAAUCAGAGGAAGUGGCUAAGAGAUUCUGAGGUCACGAUUGCUGUAUUGAACAAGUCUGGACAUUUAUAGAUAAACAAAGCAUACACCCAGUAAAAAAACAGGCUUGUGAGAUCCAAUCCAGACCAUGAAGGAUCGAUUGGAUCAACUUAAAGCGACACAGGAUACCGAUGACCCUGAUGAAGUUGACAUCUCCAUUGAUAAUGCAGCUUUCAUGGAUGACUUCUUCUCGCAGAUUGAGGAGAUCAGACAGAACAUUGAAAAAAUCUCCGAGAGUGUCAACGAGACAAAGCGACUUCACAGUGUAAUCCUGUCUGCACCGCUUCCCGAACAGAAAACCAAGGAUGAGCUGGAGAAUUUGACUUUAGAGAUCAAGAAAGCAGCUAAUAAUGUGCGGUCUCGUUUAAAGGGGAUGGAGCAAUCUAUAGAACAAGACGAUAUGCAGUCAUCUGCAGACCUUCGAAUACGAAAAUCCCAGCACUCUGUUCUUUCUCGGAAGUUUGUGGAUGUCAUGACAAAGUACAACGAGGCACAAGUGGAUUUCAGAGAAAGAAGCAAAGGGCGGAUACAGAGACAGCUGGAGAUCACUGGUAAAAGUACUACAGAUGAGGAACUGGAGGAAAUGUUAGAGAGCGGAAAUCCUAAUAUCUUCACAUCUGGGAUAAUCAAUGACUCGCAGAUAUCUCGUCAGGCAUUGAGUGAGAUUGAAUCCCGGCAUCGAGAUAUUGUACGUCUUGAGAGUAGCCUGAAGGAGCUUCAUGAUAUGUUCAUGGACAUUGCAAUGCUUGUGGAAAACCAGGGUGAGGAGAUAGAUAAUAUAGAGAUCAAUGUCAUGAAUUCAGUGGAACAUGUGGAGAAAGCCCGUGAGGAAACCACUAAAGCUGUGAAAUACCAGAAUAAAGCACGCAAGUUAAGCACCCCAUCACCACACCACCUGAUCCAACCUACCACAAUAAGUCUUCUACUACUGAAGCCUGCACUUUGUCCUUGGUACAUGGAAAUGGAUCCAAAUUUUAACCUCUGGAAGUCCCAUAUGCUGUUAUAUUUAUAGUCAAUUUUACCAUGGGAAACAUGCACCACACCUUAUGGUUGAUCUGAUCUCAUUUAUCUCUAGUUCAUAUUGCACCCUUGACUGAACUGGAGAACUCUUGACACAUUGCAUGUUUUGUCUGUGUUACUUUGGUAGCGCAAAUCAACAAGCAGCAACCACAGUACACACUAAAAAGAAAAGUGAAGAAUCGUCUUCUCCAGUACUUCUCCAGUGGGGUAGUACUGAUUUUGGCACAGGAAUUUAAUGAAUGGCUCAGGACCAGCAUGCACAUACAGUCAUCCAAUAUGGCCUUGCACCGCUAAGAUGUAAAGGACACUAAUAAUGCAUUUAGCUACAUUAUCUUUGUAAAGUAAAUGUUUUGUGAGAUUUUGUAUAUUUAUUUUUCCUUACCUUUGGUACA